UACGAAGGGGGCUAGCGUUGUUCGGAAUUACUGGGCGUAAAGCGUGCGCAGGCGGUUCGUUGUGUCGGCGGUGAAAGCCCCGGGCUCAACCUGGGAAUGGCCGUUGAAACUGGCGAACUGGAGUGUGGCAGAGGGGGUGGAAUUCCGCGUGUAGCAGUGAAAUGCGUAGAGAUGCGGAGGAACACCGAUGGCGAAGGCAGCCCCCUGGGCUAACACUGACGCUCAGGCACGAAAGCGUGGGGAGCAAACAGG
rnacentral:rRNA from 1 species